rnacentral:rRNA from 1 species
UACGUAGGGGGCAAGCGUUGUCCGGAUUCAUUGGGCGUAAAGAGCGUGUAGGCGGUUUGGUAGGUCCGCUGUGAAAACUCGAGGCUCAACCUCGAGACGCCGGUGGAAACCAUCAGGCUAGAGUCCGGAAGAGGAGAGUGGAAUUCCUGGUGUAGCGGUGAAAUGCGCAGAUAUCAGGAAGAACACCCGUGGCUAAGGCGGCUCUCUAGUACGGUACUGACGCUGAGACGCGAAAGCGUGGGGAGCGAACAGG